CCUACGGGAGGCAGCAGUGGGGAAUUUUGGACAAUGGGCGCAAGCCUGAUCCAGCUAUUCCGCGUGUGGGAUGACGGCCUUCGGGUUGUAAACCACUUUUGUAGAGAACGAAAAGUCUGUUGAUAAUACCGAUAGAUGAUGACGGUACUCUAAGAAUAAGCACCGGCUAAAUACGUGCCAGCAGCCGCGGUAAUACGUUGGGUGCGAGCGUUAAUUGGAAUUACUGGGCGUAAUGGGUGUGCAGGCGGGUAUGCAAGAUGUAUGGGAAAGCCCCGGGCUUAACCUGGGAAAGCCAUACAUGACUGCAAGACUAGAGUGCGUCAGAGGGAGGUGGAAUUCCAAGUGUAGCAGUGAAAUGCGUAGAUAUUUGGAAGAACACCGAUGGCGAAGGCAGCCCCCUGGGACGCAACUGACGCUCAUACACGAAAGCGUGGGGAGCAAACAGGAUUAGAUACCCGAGUAGUC
rnacentral:rRNA from 1 species